AUUCUUACAGAUGGUUCUCUAGAAGUUCCGUUGCUUCUUAGAGGAGGGAUCUAGAAGUCAUCCUGAGGCAGUCUCCUUGGAGCAAGGUCGUGUUCUGGGCUGCAGGAGAGAAUGAGAGUCCCCAAAGUCCGAAUGAUAUGGAUUGAGGGCAGCAGUCUCCGUGGUAGUUUUUCCAACUAGGACAGUUCAAGAACUUCACCAGAGAUUUGUCAUGAAACCACCACUCACUCAGGGUUUGACUAAGGCUUUGUCUGCAGUACUUGAGAGAGAGAGUUAAUGAGAAAGCACAAGCAAGGAGAGCAGCAGGCAGAGGGAGACUGAGAAGCAGACUCCCCACUGAGGAAGAGCCUGACUCAGGGUUUGAUCUCAGGACCCUGGAAUCAUGACCUCAACCAAAAGCAGACGCUUAAAUGACUGAGCCGAGCCACCCAGGUGCUCCUACAGUGGUCCAUUUCUUAAUGAAGGAACUCUGUGAUUUUUCCUACUUGCUCAGCCACUUCUCUGGCCCUUAAUAUGUAAAAAGACCGUGUGGACCAAAAAAGAGGAGAAAAAAAAAAGAAAGAAUAAAAGGAGGAAAGUUCUGUGAGAAGUGCUGUUUUGCUCUCUACCCACAAGGAAGAAAGAAAAAGUAGGCUGGAGAAAAAGUUCCCUCUACUGUUGUAUCCAUUUUGACACACUGUUUUCAGGUGACUUUGUCACAGAAGUGUUAUAAAUGUGUCAUCUGAAUGGUUAAGUCCUUGACUUGGAUAUGUAUGUCAUCCUUGGUCCCUGUAAUGAGUCAGUCCAGCUAUCUCUGACAUCAGACUGUGUUUAUUCCUGGCUCCCCCUCCUAUGUGCUGUGUGACUUUGGACAAGUUACUUGAACUCUCUGUGCCUCAAAUCUCUCAUUGAUUAAAUAUCCUUCAAAAUGUUUUUGUAUGGAUUACAAAUAACAUCCAUUAUCUGUUAGAAUGUAGUGCUUGGUGUGUAGUAAGCAUUCG
rnacentral:lncRNA from 1 species